GCUGGGGUAGCUCAUUUGGCAGAAAAUGAGACUCUUAAUCUUAGGAUUGUGGGUUCAAGCCCCACGUUGGGCA